UACGAAGGGGGCUAGCGUUGCUCGGAAUUACUGGGCGUAAAGGGCGCGUAGGCGGACAGUUUAGUCAGAGGUGAAAGCCCAGGGCUCAACCUUGGAAUUGCCUUUGAUACUGGCUGUCUUGAGUUCGGGAGAGGUGAGUGGAACUGCGAGUGUAGAGGUGAAAUUCGUAGAUAUUCGCAAGAACACCAGUGGCGAAGGCGGCUUACUGGUCCGGAUCUGACGCUGAGGCGCGAAAGCGUGGGGAGCAAACAGG
rnacentral:rRNA from 1 species